GGUCCGAGACCACAAUUGUCGUCCCUUGUUUUUCGUUGUUCUUUUCGUUGUUCACGAAUAUAGUCCCUAGUGUUGACAGUGGGUUACUUGCCAUUAAUUUUUAUACCCCUUCCAAAUUUAUUUCUCCAUGUUUAUUGCCUCAAAUUGCAAGUAUGGGGGUGAAAUUACACUGUAAAAAAAUUGGGUCCAGAAUUUUAAAGGAAAGUAGUGAUUUGGUCCAGCUGAAAAAGGUUGAAAAUUAGCACUUCGGAAGCUGUCAAAAGAUUUCAAGACGCCCUAAACAUAAAAUUGUCCAUAUUUUGAGUUAGAGCCGAUGAAGUUUUCUAUAAUUUUGAUAUAAUUUGUCCCAAAAGUAGUACAACACACUGUAAAAGUUUCUUUGAGAAAGCGCAGGUGGGAUUUUUUUUAUUUUCAUUUAUGUUCUAAAAGAAAUGCACUACGAAAUAAUUGUGUUCUCGGACCUAAGAGGUGAAAUCUGUAAAUAUAGAAUCUGUACUUUGGCAACUUCCCUAAAUGUUUUG
rnacentral:lncRNA from 1 species